GGGGAUGUAGCUCAGUGGCAGAGCAUGUGCUUUGCAUGUACGAGGCUGAGGGUUCAACUCCGGGUGCCUCCA
rnacentral:tRNA from 1 species